GGGAUUGUGGCUUAGUGGUAGAGUGCUUGCCUCGCAUACAUGAAGCCCUGGGUUCGAUUCCUCAAUACCA
rnacentral:tRNA from 1 species